rnacentral:rRNA from 1 species
GUCAGCGUUCAUCCGUGUCGGAUAUUGGGCGUAGGGCUCGCAGGCGGUUUCUUAAGUCUGAUGUGAAAGCCCCCGGCUCAACCGGGGAGGGUCAUUGGAAACUGGGGAACUUGAGUGCAGAAGAGGAGAGUGGAAUUCCACGUGUAGCGGUGAAAUGCGUAGAGAUGUGGAGGAACACCAGUGGCGAAGGCGACUCUCUGGUCUGUAACUGACGCUGAGGAGCGAAAGCGUGGGGAGCGAACAGGAUUAGAUACCCCCGUAGUCCAA